UACAGAGGGCGCGAGUGUUAAUCGGAAUUACUGGGCGUAAAGCGUGCGUAGACGGUCGUGCAAGUCGGGUGUGAAAGCCCCAGGCUCAACCUGGGAAUUGCAUUCGAGACUGCUCGGCUAGGGUGCGGAAGAGGGAAGCGGAAUUUCCGGUGUAGCGGUGAAAUGCGUAGAUAUCGGAAGGAACACCAGUGGCGAAAGCGGCUUCCUGGUCCGACGCCGCCGUUCAGGCACGAAAGCGUGGGGAGCAAACAGG
rnacentral:rRNA from 1 species